GAUGAACGCUGGCGGCGUGCUUAACACAUGCAAGUCGAACGGGAUCCCAGGGGUGCUUGCACUUUUUGGUGAGAGUGGCGAACGGGUGAGUAACACGUGAGUAACCUGUCCUUUUCUUUGGGAUAAGCAUUCGAAAGGGUGUUUAAUACCUUAUGUUCUGUCUGCCUCGCAUGGGGUGGGUGGGAAGGGCUUUGGCCGGAUUUGGGUGGGCUCGCGGUCUAUCAGCUUGUUGGUGGGGUGAUGGCUUACCAAGGCUUUGACGGGUAGCCGGCCUGAGAGGGUGGUCGGUCACAUUGGGACUGAGAUACGGCCCAGACUCCUGCGGGAGGCAGCAGUGGGGGAUAUUGCACAAUGGGCGAAAGCCUGAUGCAGCGACGCCGCGUGGGGGAUGAAGGCCUUCGGGUUGUAAACUUCUUUUGCUCUGAACAAGGCAUGCCAGUGGGUGUGUUGAGUGUAGGGGUUGAUUAGCGCCGGCUAACUACGUG
rnacentral:rRNA from 1 species